rnacentral:lncRNA from 1 species
GGGAGCAGCAGCUGCCAGGGAUCUGCCCUGCUCCCCAGCCGCCCAACUUGGGAAUACUCCUGCAGGCUCUCCACUGCCCACAGAAAGAGCCUCUCCUACAAAAUGACCAGUGGGUGGAUGGAAACGCCAUAGGGGCUUCAGGAGAUCGUCUGGUCCCAUCCCUCUCUGAGCUGCUGCACAAGAUCUCUCUGUGAUGAGUGCGCUCCCAUGGAAGAAGUGUGCUGCCUGGAACAUCUGGCUGAACCUGAUGCUUGCACCUUCCCUGAAGCCAUAAAUCUUAGAUGAGAAAACUGAUAAGCAGAGCGAAGCUGCUACCUGCUAAGGUUCCGUGGUUGCUUGGUGACCAAGUUGAGACCACAACUCAGAGGAGAUGGUUACCAGGGCCCCUUCUAACACACCAUUCUGGAUGUGCCUUCCUUCCUGACAUUAAAAAAGUUCAACUUAUAAAUCUUUUAAGAAUGAAAUCCUAAGAAAUCUCAUGUGCAGUCAAUUUCCCCUCCACACCUCUCUUAGGUUGCAGCCAUACACUGAGGGCUUUCCUUGAUGCCAAAACAACCUAAAGCAAUAGAAGAUUCUUGGAAGAUCUUAGAACGGUGGAUCUCAGACUCCAGCAUGCAUCAGAAUCACCUGGAGGUGAUC